rnacentral:lncRNA from 1 species
AGUUUAAAGAUGGUAAGAGAAUGAGCUUGGUCCCUAAGGAAAGGAGAAGUGAAUCUACUAAAUAUCUGCUGAAAAUAUUUUUCUAAGACUUCUCCAGUUCACACUGAAAAGCAGGCACCAUGGAGUGAGACCGGUUCCAUUAUCCAGUGUAAGAACACCAAGUAACUCUACAGAUGUGAGCUCCUUGCGAGCUCCAUGAACUGCUCAUCAAGCAUCAUCUUCUCAGCACCUAGAACAGUGCCUGGUACAGAUUAGAAGCUUCCAAAAGGCUUCAAGGCCAUCCUCAGGAUGUACAGAAAGCGAACAUGAUGACCUCCUCAGAGAGGAACAUCUAUGCUGGCAUCCAUCAUCGAUGACAACUGAAAGACCUGGUAUGGCAUCUCCAGUCACUGAUCCCAGAUGGUCAACGUUCCUGCCUCAUAGCCCAGUAGUCCCAGAUGGUCAACAUCCCUGCCUCAUAGCCCACCAGUACCUGUAUAACUGCCUCAAGAUUAUGUGCUUGUUUAUGAUGGUCUUUGGGACAUGAGUGUUCCAUCUUCCAAUAUUGCUGGCUAAUAGAAUAAAUCCCUUUCUCAACCAA